AUUGAACGCUAGCGGCAGGCUUAACACAUGCAAGUCGAACGAGUGGCGGACGGGUGAGUAAUAUAUGGGAAACUGCCCAAUGGAGGGGGAUAACUACUGGAAACGGUAGCUAAUACCGCAUACCAUAGGAUGGGCCCAUAUGGGAUUAGCUAGUUGGUGGGGUAAUGGCUCACCAGGGCAACGAUCCGUAGCUGGUUUGAGAGGAGGACGAGCCACCCGGGUACUGAGCAACGGCCCGGAUUCCUAGGGGAGGCAGCGGUGGGGAAUGUUGGCCAUUGGGGGAAACCCUGACGAAGCCAUCCCGCGUGGAUGAGGAAGGCCUUCGGGUUGUAAAGUCUGUUUGUCAGCGAGGCGGUAUUUGCAGAAUAAGCAACGGCUAACUACGUGCCAGCAGCCGCGGUAAUAC
rnacentral:rRNA from 1 species